rnacentral:rRNA from 1 species
GAUGAACGCUAGCGGGAGGCCUAACACAUGCAAGCCGAGGCGGUUAUUGUUUCUUCGGAAAUGAGAGAGCGGCGUACGGGUGCGGAACACGUAUGCAACCUACCUUCAACUGGGGGGAUAGCCUUCCGAAAGGGAGAUUAAUACCGCAUAAUAUAAUGAAACGGCAUCGUUUUAUUAUCAAACGUCAGGGUUGAAGAUGGGCAUGCGUCCGAUUAGCUAGUUGGUGUGGUAACGGCACACCAAGGCGACGAUCGGUAGGGGAUCUGAGAGGAUGACCCCCCACACUGGUACUGAGACACGGACCAGACUCCUACGGGAGGCAGCAGUAAGGAAUAUUGGUCAAUGGACGAAAGUCUGAACCAGCCAUGCCGCGUGCAGGAAGACGGUCCUCUGGAUUGUAAACUGCUUUUGUUAGGGAAGAAACCCUCGGAUGCGUUCGAGGCUGACGGUACCUAAAGAAUAAGGAUCGGCUAACUCCGUG